AUGGACCAAGGUUGCAAAUAUAAUUUUCUUGGAGCAACCUGUAAAUACUGGAUUUUCAUAUGCAACAACACCAGAAGCAAUGCAUGUUAUUGAUGUUGAUGCAUGUACCCACGUCUAUCAAUUUUUACUUAAGUGGCUCGUUGAUCAUCCAGAGUUCAGUUCAAAUAAUUUUUAUUUGGGUGGAGAUUCAUAUUCUGGUAUCGUUGUUCCACGUGUUGUCCAACUAAUAUCAGAUGGAAUUGAAGCAGGCAACAAGCCUUUGGUUAACCUUAAGGGUUAUUUACUUGGAAACCCUUUAACAUUUCCUGAAGAAAAAAAUUUUAUGAUUCCAUUUCUUGUUGGCAUGGCAAUCAUUCCUAUUGAACUUUAUCAGUCAAUGAUGCAAAAUUGCAAAGGAGAAUACAGAAAGGAGUUUGCUCCCACUAAUGCUCAAUGCAGCCAAGAUCUAAAUAUUGUGGAUGAGCUGUCGAACAAUAUUAAUGAUCAACAUGUUUUAGAUCCCCUGUGUGGAUCAGAAACAGAAUUGAAAAGCCCAUUUCCAUCUAAAUUUAGAGGGAGUAGAAGAUCUAUUCAAGAGAAUGCCAUCUCACCCAGCUGUUAUGGAAAGCUUGUUGAUAGACACGAACUUUCAAAUUAUUGGGCAAAUGACCCUCGAGUCCAGAAAGCUCUCCAUGUUCGAAAGGGAACUAUAGAUCACUGGGCAAGAUGCAAGCAAAAUGGUAUUAAAAAAUACUAUACAUUUACCUCUAUGGACAGUAUUUCAUAUCAUAGAAAUCAUAGCGCUAAAGGUUAUCGAUCACUUAUAUACAGUGGUGAUCAUGACAUGGGUGUACCAUUCCAAUCUACAGAAGCAUGGAUUAAAUCAUUAAAUUAUUCAAUUGUUGAUAAUUGGCGUCAAUGGAUCGUUAAUGGUCAAGUUGCCGGAUACACAAGAUCAUAUGC
rnacentral:misc_RNA from 1 species